rnacentral:rRNA from 1 species
ACGAACGCUGGCGGCGUGCUUAACACAUGCAAGUCGAACGGAAAGGCCCUGCUUUUGUGGGGUGCUCGAGUGGCGAACGGGUGAGUAACACGUGAGUAACCUGCCCUUGACUUUGGGGUAACUUCAGGAAAAUGGGGCUAAUACCGGAUAGGAGCUCCUGCUGCAUGGUGGGGGUUGGGAAGUUUCGGCGGUUGGGGAUGGACUCGCGGCUUAUCAGCUUGUUGGUGGGGUAGUGGCUUACCAAGGCUUUGACGGGUAGCCGGCCUGAGAGGGUGACCGGCCACAUUGGGACUGAGAUACGGCCCAGACUCCUACGGGAGGCAGCAGUGGGGAAUAUUGCACAAUGGGCGGAAGCCUGAUGCAGCAACGCCGCGUGCGGGAUGACGGCCUUCGGGUUGUAAACCGCUUUCGCCUGUGACGAAGCGUGAGUGACGGUAAUGGGUAAAGAAGCACCGGCUAACUACGUG